rnacentral:miRNA from 1 species
ACCAGGGGGACUUGUGAAAAUGCAGAUUUUGAUCCUGUAGAUCUGAGAUUCUGCUUUUCUAACAAGCUCUCCAAGGUGU